ensembl:snoRNA
AGCGAGACUAGAGUCACAUCCUGAUAUUCCUGGUUGUCCUGGUGUGCUAGAGUCCUCGCAGAUUAACGUUUCUCUGCUUAUUCAUUGGCUGCUGCUUUCCAUUGCUCAGCCAAUCACCAGCUUUGAAACAUCU